AGCUCAAAUGGUAGAGCGCUCGC
rnacentral:piRNA from 1 species